UUUUUUCUAUGAUUAUCUGUAUGAGAAAUCUUUGAUAGCAAACACAGUAAAAUAAUGUUUUGCCUUAAGUUUUAGAAACUGAAGUUGUUAUAAAACCAUUCUAUUAGGAUUUAAAUUAUAUCACGCCAGCCAGACUUAUUUAUGCAAAUGUUUUCUCCCUACCACUGUGCUCAUUGAGAAGGACUGCUGACCCAGGUGUUUUGUAGCUUUUAAAAUAAUUGUUCAAUAUGAUAUUAGGUUGUAGAAUGUGGUCACAAAUUUCUCAAGUCUAGAGAAGUCCAUUCCAGAAGUCUAGCAGGUCUAUUCCACUGACUCUCAACUUUAUUAUGCUUAUGCUUGACUCUUAUGUCUUUCCUAUUUAACUUAUUUUAUAAAAUGUAGAACAUAUGUUUUGAAAGUCAAACCAUACCAAAGUCAAACCUGGUGGGAGUGCUACAACUGUAAAAAGGUGGAAACACUCAGUAAGCAGUCAAAGUUUGGCAUGGAAAUAGACACGGCUGCAAUAAGGUAGUGGACUUAUGGGCUAAGUUUCCUUGCUUUCAUACUUGCAUGUAGUGUAGCUAGUUUCCCAAAACACAUAAAAGGAAGUCAUUUCUCUGUGAAGUGGUCUUUAGAGGAGGGUUUUUCUACUUCAGCAUUAUUAUUUGAGACUGGAUAAUUCUUUGCUGUGUGUGUGGAUGGGGGUGGGAGGGUUGCUGUGCUGUGCGUUAUGAGAUGUUUAGCAGCAUUGCAUCCGUGGUCUUUGUCCAUUAGAUGCUGUUGACAUCCUUCUUCCCAAUUGUGGCCACCAAAAGUGUUUCUAGACAUACCCAAAUGUCCACUGGGGGAACAAAACCCUCGUUCCUCACCAUUUUCCCUCCUCUGUGGUUGAGAAUGACUUCUCUAGAUUACCAUUUCAAGAUUUAGCUUAAGUUUCUGACAGUGGUGUUACAGAAGGCCAUUUUCAUCAUUGUCAUUUAUUAUUUCAUGUUAGUUUAGUGGUUUACUACAAGUAGCCUAGGGUCAAGGAAAUAUAUCCAGUUCAUUUAAUAGUAUUCUUAAUCAACUAUGUUCCUAAGUUCUUAUGUUUCUUUUAAUCUAUGAACCUAUGUUCCUACUGUUGCCUGAAAGAUUCACAAGAGGAAAAAUGUACUGAGUAUAGACAAUAAAAAAUUUAAUGUGGCCAAAUAUAGCAUAUAUUUAACAUUGUAAAGCAUAUCUCAAAUAUUUGCAGCAUUUCAUGGCAACAAAAGCUGCUAUAGAAUAAGUGGGUCAGAAUUACCAUCAGGGAAGUAGUACCCAAAAUAUCUUCCGACUAUUAUAGGCCAGGCCAAAGCAAAAAACAGCUCAAUUAGAUUUGGGAGGCAUUCCUUCCAGGCUGCUAAAGUAUCACCAGUCAAACAGCAUUCACAAGAAACACAGGUCUGAGAUAACCAAGUUAGUGCUCUAAUAAGACUUCAAAUGCUCUGAGAACAAGCUUCACUGUAUUUUUGCUCACAGAAGUUUCACAUCUAUCCUUGCUCAGGCCUAGGAUUUUAGUCGGCUAGCAGCAAAAGAAGAUGAACUUGAAAUUUCACUUCAAGAAGUAUUAGGCUUUAUGGAAUAUAAAAGUAAUUCAGAAGCAUAGAAAACCAUGAAUAAUAAACAAACUCUGAUAGAAAAUAAAUAAAGGAACUCAAGGAAUUGCCUUCCAAUAUCCUUGGCAACCAGAGAAGCAAUCAAUGAGUUUUAAAACUCCCAUAUACAUAUUUGGUGCUCACAAAUACCUGAAUAAUAAAGACGAUUAUCAUGCAGAGUGACAAAGUACAGAUAAACACACUCCAGCUUUGCAAGUACAAAACCAGUUAAAACCAGUUAUUCUACUCCUGACGUUUAACAAGUAGAGCUUUACACAUAUACUAAAAGCCACAGUGAACUGGGUGAAAGUUUGUUGGGCCUGGGGAGUGGGAAACUGGCUUAGUAACACCAGAGUCAUCUCAGUGUGUGACCCCUGGCAAACCAUGCUCCUGAGAAGACAGCAGAAGGAAAAGGUUGCUUUACCAAAGGUUAGAAAUACAGGAAUAUAGAGUGCGUGAAUGCAAGCUAUGUGACUUAUGUAGGCUUUUACAUACCAAAGCUGCUUCCAAAGUCAGUAGGAGAGGCUGGUCCCAUCAGCUGGAUAAGCACAGCAAAAAUUAAGAUGGUUUGAUAUCCACAUCUCCAGUUGCUUAAGUUGUUUACUCUGUUCCCUCUGAAUCACAUCACAUCUUAUUUUCAACUGAAACAUGGAAACCUUUCUGGCCUAAUACUUCUUUUCCAAAUAAUAUUUAUUUUCAUGUGGCAUUAAUCUUUUUUUACUAAUUAUUCUUGGGUGCAGCAUAUUUUGUAACCACCUAAGCACACACUGAUCCAAAGCUGAAUAUUAUAAAUAGUUAUAAUCACAUUCAUCAAAAAGUUCAAAGUGAGAGUGGGCUAAAAAAUAAGUAGGAGUCAGAAAGAGAGAGUAGGAGAUUGGGUAAAAUGAUAAAAUAAUGAGAAAAAGAAAUAAUUUCUAUGUAUCAGGUAGGAGAGAGAAGCUAUUUCCUAGGGCUUUGGGGGAAAUGAAUUUCCCACACCAAAGGUGGAGUAGAUUGAAAAACCGAUAGAUUGCUCUUCACUCCUUCACUGAGGUUCUGAAACUGUAGGCAUUGAAUGCUGCAUUAAAGAUACAUGUGCAUCUUAUUCCUCAUAAGUAAAUUACAUUGUUUUAUUACUAUGCUGUGUGGCCCAAAAGGCAAGCAAUAAUUUUUAGUGGCUGAGAAGAAACUAGUUUCACAAACAAGGGGCACUUUGAAAAAACAAAUGUACUCAAAAAGACAAUGUUGCUCUGGGCUUUAUUUAGAAUUAAAUUCCAGAACUCACUCAAAACUGCAGAACCAGUACUCAAAUUUGGUACCCCUUUUGCUCAUCCUUCCUAAAGUCACCCUUCACACACAAAUCUUUCCACCCUCCUCUCCAGGCAUUUUAAAUAGCUGCAGGAUUAGAAAUUGCAAAACAGAUGCCUCCGGCCAAAAGCACCAAGUUUUGCUGAUAAAUUUUCCUGAAAUCACACAAAUGGAAAAAACGGAAGUCAGAAGUGUACAUUUUAUAUUCAGCAGCUAAAGUCUGAAAUCUCAGGUUAUAAGUAAAUUAUUUUGUGAUUAAAUCCUAAUCUCAUCAAUUUAAAGAACCAAAAACCCAGCUCAAUAAUCCACCACAAUCUUACCUUGAAAAUGUGGUUCUCUUAUUUGAAUGUCUUCUUCCAGUACUAAUUCGAUUUCUUUUCCUGAAAAUUCUGCCACAUGGUGCUACUUUCGGACAUUUAAUAUAUUUCAUUUAUAAUUACUCUCACGUGUAAAUGGUAUCUUUAAAUAAUAUGUGCAGGAGUUCUUAAUAAGUUUUCACAACUCUCCUUAUAAAGCAAAGCUAUUCAUUUUUAGAGAGUUUGAACGUUUUGGUGUUAAUUUGAUAAAUAACAGCUAUUGGACAACUGAAGAGAAUAACCACUCACAGGCAAUCUUCUCUUUGUACUUGAUUUUAAAAUAUUAAUAUUUCAUUCAUGGUGUCUUCUCAAAUUAAAUUUCUCAGGGUUACUGGACCUCAGAUACUAAAAGGACAAAGAAAAGGGACAGAUGAGAACAGCUACGAAGCGAUAGUGAAAACAUAUGGUGUCCAUCUUGUAAGCAUAAGGCUCCCUGGUAUUGCUGCCACUCUCCCUGUGCUCGGGAAAGCUGGAAGAAGCCAGUAGGCAAUCUGGUGUCUCGUCAGAAGAGUGCCAGAAACAGGUGUUGCUGACCUAACCCUUUCCUCCUACCACAGAUUCUCUUGGUGGCCAGGCGCAGUGGCUCACGCUUGUAAUCCCAGCACUUUGGAAGAUGGAGACGGGCAGAUUACCUGAGGUCAGGAGUUCAAGACCAGCCUGGUCAACAUGGCAAAACCCCGUCUCUACUAAAAAUGCAAAAAUUAGCCAGAUGUGGUGGUGCUCACCUGUAGUCCAAGCUACUCAGGAGGCUGACACAGAAGAAUUGCUUGAACCCGGGAGGCGGAAGUUUCAGUGAGCCGAGAUCGCGCCACUGCAUGCACUCCAGCCUGGGCAACAGAGCAAGACUCCGUCUCAAAAAUAAAUAAAUAAAUAAAUAAAUAAAUAAAUAAAAUGUUUCAGGUUCUCUCUUGUCUCCAAACCAUUGCUAAUGCUAUUUCCAUGUCUGAUGUUCCAAGGAAAAUAUUAUUUCCUCUAGAAAGCCCGACUGCCUCUCAGAUUUGUUAGGUGCUUUCCUACUGCACCCUGUCAGAGCACAAAAUGGUAAUCGCAGUUUGUCUGUCCCCCUUAUUAGUCUUUAAGCGAAUUAGACUUUAAAUUCUAAAAGCAGCUAUCAGAUCUGUCUUGGUCCUCAUUGUAUUCCUAGGACCUUGCUGUAGAGUGGGUGCUAAUAAAUAUUUUUGUUAAGUGAAUGAAUGUAUGUAUGAAUUGCUUUGGCUCUAACUGGAAUUUGUCUAUACCAUGGAUCGUGGAUGCUUUGUCUAUGGCUUAUAAUAUCAAUUGUUCCAUUUUGACUUAUUUCAUUCCUAGAAAAUUUGUCCUAUGCUUUGUUAUUUAUAAUCACAUUAAUGAUUUAUUUCAGAAUAUACUGUAAUAUAAAAAAUGAUGCAUGCUAAAUAAAAUCUGGCAGGUUUUUUUUUUUCCCCACCAUUAGGAAGGAAAUGGAGGUGUAAAUAC
rnacentral:lncRNA from 1 species